rnacentral:rRNA from 1 species
GUCCUAGCCGUAAACGUUGGGUGCUAGGUGUGGGAGGACAUUGACCCCUUCCGUGCCGAAGCUAACGCAUUAAGCACCCCGCCUGGGGAGUACGGCCGCAAGGCUAAAACUCAAAGGAAUUGACGGGGGCCCGCACAAGCGGCGGAGCAUGCGGCUUAAUUCGAUGCAACGCGAAUAACCUUACCUGGGUUUGACAUGCAGGGUGAAAUCGGUGAAAGCUGACGCUCUUCGGAGCCUGCACAGGUGGUGCAUUGCUGUCGU